UCCUAAUUCAAGUAAUGCCUCCGGAUCGUCCUGAAUAUGAUAAAAUCGUAAUACUAUUCGACGUUCUAAUUCAUCGUUUUUUUGUGUACAGAGUUGAAUGUCUAUCACAUAGGCAAAUUGUUUGUCAGGUAAAUA
rnacentral:rRNA from 14 species